UUACGGCUAUAUCAUGUCGAAACAUUGGUUCCCGUAAGAUAACCGAAGUUAAGCAACGUCGAACCUGGUUACUAUCUAGAUGGGUGACCGCUCCGGAAUACCAGGUGCUGUAAG